rnacentral:rRNA from 1 species
GAGCACGUAGGUGGGUUUGUAAGUCAGAUGUGAAAGCCUUCUGUUCAACGGAAGAAUUGCAUCUGAAACUGCAAACCUUGAGUGUAGGAGGGGAGAAUGGAACUUCUGGUGGAGCGGUGAAAUGCGUAGAUAUCAGAAGGAACGCCGGCGGCGAAAGCGAUUCUCUGGCCUAUUACUGACACUCAGUGUGCGAAAGCUAGGGGAGCAAACGGGAUUAGAUACCCCGGUAGUCCUAGCCGUAAACGAUGGGCACUAAGUAGAGGGGUUUU